ACCGAUGGUUGAUUGGGUUUAGGCAGUGUGACGACGCCAACGAGAAGGGGGUUGAGGCGGAGAGGAUCAAAAGAAAGAACUAACAGGUGGGGUGGGGGAUGGCAACAACAAUUUGGGGGAUGGCAAUAUCAAAAAAAUGAAAAGGCUUUCGUUCCCUAAGGUGACUCCUAGCUCCCACCAAAUUGUACAGUCCUCGCAACACCAAACUCACACACGUAGCAUUUUUUGUAUGUAUAUAACAUUAUUGCAACUUUUUCACCAUAACUGCCGCAAAAGGCAUUCAAACUAAACCACAACAUUCCAAACAAGGGCACGAAGCAAUUGUUUUAGUACAUACAACAAGUCCUCAUUUUGUCGCAACAACAACGCCAAAAAGUAGGUCACAACACACGCAACAGGGAAACCGAACACAUGCAUCAUGCAAAAAAGAACACAUGCAACAUAUAUAACAAAAAUACGUUUGAAGCAUAUGUUCAAACCACAAGAAGUCUGCAGUGAUUGCAAUAUCUCGCUCAUGUGUCCACUGCAGAUGACAGACAUGCUCAAAGCAUAUCGGAACAACCUUCGCAUCAUCAAAAAUCUCACAUCGUCUAGUCUUCCAUCAUCAAUAAUAGAGGCACAUGACUUCACAAAUAAUUCGGACUCGCGGACCAUGAAUCUGGCUUGCUCGGAGCUAGAUAAGGUGACCAUGAAGAAAUAUGAAAACAAGUAGCUGAGAAAGAGGAGUCGUGCAAGAGGGAGCUUCCCGGAAGAGAUAAUUGACAAGCAGAUGCAAGAAAGCAGACAUGGCUAAUAAACUCCUAGGAAAAAGAGUAGACGUAGGGGAGACAAAAGCCUGAAGAGGCCGUCUGAUGCUCGUGACUCGUGAGGGAGUGAAUCGUGUUGGGACUCAAAACAUGUGACGGUCAUGAGAUUUAUCAGAUGACUACGCUCCCGCCAUACGCCGCUUGGGGAUGCAUCGUGUGGAUUUUAUUUCUCAUCAAAUAAUAAGUUUUCUUAAAAUAUUUACGAGUAGAGAGAGUGGUUUAUUCUGGCUGAGAAGGGAAGGAUCUCUUGACCUGAUCCUAGAGAGAGUGGUCUAUUGUGGCUGAGAAGGAAGGAUCUCUUGACCUGAUCCUACAUGCUGAGAGUAGCUCUCUUGAUUAAACUAUUAAAAUCCAUUUCAGGUCACAGUUUAGAAUAAAGUUACGUGCCGUCUUCAUUCUUGUUUAAUGAACUUAUCCGUAUUUUAAACUAGUCGUACCAACGUCCUACCUUUCGGUUCGUUGAGUGGCCCAUUAGUCAAACCAUCCUGUGAUUAAGUAUAUUACACAUCGGAAGGGACGACAGUUGAACUGUCCCAUUUUUUCAACAAUAAAUAGCAGGAGAGGCUCUUUUUGUUGCUGCCUUGUGUGGUUGGGAGGACUGCACUUACAGAAAAAACAUUAGGGCCACAACCAAAUCAAUGCCGGACGAGAGCCAAGCCGGGGAAUCAUCCUGUGCCACAAAUCGGUACACGUUCCUCCCUUCCUGCACUUCCCUGCUUUAAACGGCAACAUGAUAAAUAGGAGUAGGAGUAAAGCCGGAUGCAUAUGACAUGAGAUGCCAACAAAAUUAUCCAAGGACGCGUUUGCAAAAAAGGAAUUUGUUGGAGGGAAUUAGAGAAAUGAAUAGAAAUUCGAGCAAAUUUUACUCGGUAAACGAUGGAUCGACCAUUUUACCGUUCCUGUAUCUGUUCCCAGUCGCGAUCGCCGCCGCCGCCGUGAUCGGUCGGUCCUCCGGCCAACCGGCGCACUUGCUUGCCUGAGCACCGCCGCCACGGAUGGCUCACAAACUAGCGCUGCAGCAUUGGCUCUAACCGAUUCUGAAGAAAAAGAAGAAGAAGAAGACAGAAACAAUGGCAUGGUGACGCAACUCUUGCUGACAUGAGAUACGGAGACUUGUUGUACUCCUCUCAUGUCCUUUCUGACUUUGUGAGUUUUCUUUUUCGAGAACCUGACUUUAUGAGUUUGUCUAUUGUGGCUUUUAGACUUUAGUAGCCCCUCUACUGCCUGAAGAUUAUUCUGCACUUCUGCUCCUAUGCAUGUGUUUCCAUUGUAAUCACAGAAAAGAAGAGAGAAAUAGCUGACGAACGUUGUCCGCAGAUGCAAGAAAUGGAAUCACACCGAUAUAUAUUUACCCCUUUUGUAGAUUUCAGGCCUGAGUGAACUUGGCAUGAGCUUGCUACUGAUAGAUCACAGAAUAGAGAAACAUAUGACGCUCUGAUGCUAUCAGGAAUUCAGGAUGAAUAGCUUCAUAUUGGAUGGUGCUACUGUUUAAGCAAAAGGAGUUCAGAACAGACACCAAACAAUUUGCAGUAUUGUUGGUCUAAUGUCCAGGAAUCAAAAUCUGUAAUACAAAAUUGAGCACUCUUUUAUAGCAGAAUUCUUGUACUUGUUGUACUCCCUCCGACCCAUAUUACUUGUCUCAAAUUUGCCCAAAUAUGAAUGUAUCUAUGUUUAAAAAGCGUCUAGAUACAUGUAAUAUUUCGACAAGUAAUUUCGAUCGGAGGGAGUACUGAAAUAUGCAACUGAGGCCAGCAUUUACCGGGAUGUAA